rnacentral:lncRNA from 1 species
AAGAGUGAAGUAUGGUUUAUUAUCGAUGCAUCCGUGUAUAUAGUGGUAGGUUAUAUGUGAUUUAAAUGAUUGUUAUAUCAUGUGUUACUAGAUGAAAAUUACCUACCCUUGGAUGAUGAUAACACAGGCAUGUGGAACAUAUAAGAUGUAUAUAUAUGUAUGCCUAGAUGUGAAUGUUGAACUUGGGUCGAUAAACUCUAAGAAAAUUAGAG